AAGCUUGUUGAUGCCUCAGGUAUGCAAACAACAAAUGCCCUGCAGUGAGGGAGGCUUGAUGUGGUAUGGUAACAAUGAAGGGUGGGGUAGAAGGAGGUUAGGUCUGAAAGCGCAAUCAGGAAGGCUGGCUGAAGGCCACUCAACACAGAUCUCAAAGAUGGGGUAGGAGUCAGCCCAGCUGCCGACUGGCCACGCAAAGCAAGCACAGAGCUCUGACUAGACACUGGCUGUUCACUGUCUGAGGCUAGCUAUUUUUCCUUCUUUUUCAGUUUGAAAGCAUUUGGAAAUUAUCAGAGAGGGUGUCAAAGUCUUAGAGGAGCCCCUAUAGUCCCUUCCCUUGGCUUUACCACACCUUCAUCUCUUAGAUAGCCAGUAUCAGGAAAUUCUACAGAGGGGCUGGAUAGAUCAGUUGGAUUUAGCAUGCUCUUCAAUUGGAUACAGCCAAAGAAAUGAAAGAGAGCCAAGACUCCAAGACUGGCAUGGCAAGUCGAGGCAGCCUCCAUCUAAAUAGAUAAAGCGAGGUGCAUUCAGCCAAGGCAAGCUGGUCCAGGAGAGUGUUCAGCCCCAAGAGGCUGGAGCUACGAUGUCCUGUGAUCAAACCCCAUCCCAGAGUUUAUUUCUAGUCUAGUGACUUUGGGGAAAGUACCCACGCUCUUUGUUUUCUCAGAUUUUGUUUGGUUUUGUUUGUUUUGAGGUUGCUCUCAAUUCAGCAUCCCUCCUGCCUCAGUUUCCCAAGUACUGGGAUUCUAUCAUCCACCAUGCGGCUGGACAGGCUUCUUAAAGCUUCUGAGGCCCAACCCUUAUGAGCAAAAGAAGAAACACAAGCAGUGCUCACAUCACGGUGCAGCUGCAAGAGGUAACCCAGGAGCUGCAGGGGAGUCCUUAGCACAAUGGCUCACGUACAGCAAGUGGUCCAGAGGUGAUGGUACUACUCAGCUUGAGAGAUCUUGAACGUGAGGUUCAGGAGGACACAGAGGUGGAUUAUCAAGGGUCCACUGCACUACGUGGAACCCAUGUCAACAUUGCUUGGGUGACCAAGAACCAGAGACUAGAUAGCCUACAGAACUAUGGUAAAACCAAUACUACUGGUCUAAAAAAAUAAAAAAAGUUCAGCAUCUCAUAAACAGUAUCUGGCCAGACUGAGAAUCAAGACGCUAAGUCUGUAAAAUCACAGCUUGUAUUGAAAGCAGAAGAUGAUUCUCGCCUUCUGCGCCAUCUGAGAACAAUUUCAAUAGAAAAAUGUGAACUGACAAA